UACGGGGGGGGCAAGCGUUGUUCGGAAUUACUGGGCGUAAAGGGCGCGUAGGCGGCCUUCUAAGUCAGACGUGAAAUCCCUCGGCUUAACCGGGGAACUGCGUCUGAUACUGGAGGGCUUGAAUUCGGGAGAGGGAUGUGGAAUUCCAGGUGUAGCGGUGAAAUGCGUAGAUAUCUGGAGGAACACCGGUGGCGAAGGCGGCAUCCUGGACCAAUACUGACACUGAGGAGCGAAAGCCAGGGGAGCAAACGGG
rnacentral:rRNA from 1 species